CCUACGGGUGGCAGCAGUGAGGAAUAUUGGUCAAUGGACGAGAGCCUGAACCAGCCAAGCCGCGUGAAGGACGACUGCCCUAUGGGUUGUAAACUUCUUUUAUAUGGGAAUAAAAUGUUCCACGUGUGGCAUUUUGUAUUUACCAUAUGAAUAAAGACCGGCCAAACCCGGGCCAGCAGCCGCGGUAAUACGGAGGAUCCGAGCUUUACCCGGAUUUAUUGGGUUUAAAGGGGCGGUAGGUGGUUUGUUAAGUCAGUGGUGAAAGUUUCUGGCUAAACCGUGAAAUUGCAGUUGAAACUGGCAGGCUUGAGUACAGUAGAGGUGGGCGGAAUGCGAGGUGUAGCGGUGAAAUGCUUAGAUAUCACGAAGAACACCGAUUGCGAAGGCAGCUCACUGGACUGCAACUGACGCUGAGGCUCGAAAGUGUGGGUAUCAAACAGGAUUAGAUACCCCAGUAGUC
rnacentral:rRNA from 1 species